ACCACAACCUUGGGAACAUCUCAGAAGACAUCUACUCAGCUGUUACAGAGCCAGUGAAAAUUGCUACAGCACCUCUAUGAAUCCCCCCCGACUCCCCACCUGUGAGGACUGUGAGAAGCAAGCAGAACUGCAGCUGACUUCGGCCUUGAAGAGAGUUCCAGCGCCUGUCAAACCUAACACUUAGCUGAUUUAUUGCUGUAAGAAAAAAUUUAAAUCUACUGAUAACUAAGGUAGAUACAUAAACUAUGGACUCUAUUGUAAGCUUGAAUGCAGAAGCCAGGUAUUUAAUGGAGAACGGAAACACUAAUCUCACCUUCCUAAUAUGCCAUAAAACAACCUUAUACUUCUAUGACCUAAGAGAUUGAGAAACAGCAUUUAGUUUUAGCAGAUUACUUACGACUUAGCAUGACUGAUUAUAUGAGAAAUAACACCCCCUUCUAGAAGCAUGUUAUUAAUUUAAUGUAUUAGCUCCCAUUUAAAAAAAACCCAAGCUUUUCUUAGUUUCACAAGCACUUUGAAUACCCGAAGUUAUAGAUAAUGAGGAAGAGUUAAUGACAUUCUCACUUCAGGUAAAGCUGCUACCAUAUAUGGGGUAGUAAUGCUGAUAAAACACCAAGAAAAAUUAGCAAAUCCUGGUCCUUAAUGGCUGCAGGUUCCCCUCCAUCUCAGUGUUGAGAAGUGUUAAAAAUUGGAGCUUGCACAUUUUUACUCAGGUGGUCAUUUUAGAAGGCUUUCCAAGAAGGAUUUCAGCUGUUAAUGUCAGAGUUGCACCACCACCCCACUGCAUGGGACAAAUGAUACCACUGUGGCUACUAAAUCUGCACACAAAGCAUCAUCAUUUUGAUACUCCUCAUGAAAAUCCUGGGACAGGACUCUAUGGAGACUUCAGAUUUCCAUCUUUCCUUUCCAAGCAGGAAACCUUUUCACGCAUCAUCAUAAGCAACAGGUGAUGUUUCAGGGGACAGUAUUAUUCAGAAGAAAAUAUACUAUUAAGUGGUUACAUUACUAAAGCAGACAAAAUAUCCAUAAAAGAAAAAUCCAACAACACAAAGAAGCACAUCCGUUGGUGGUAAUUUGUGCAAUCAUCAUCCUGACUACGUAAGAUGUAAACUCUGUAUUACACAACUGCAAUUAAAAAGCUGACAUGACAUAAAUAGUCACAGCGUGUGUCUACAGAAGUUCAAUAUUGAACACGCUACUAUUUUAAAGAUCAGCAUAGGGCUCUCGAUUUGUAUAACUGCUAAUUAACUAAACAGUGGGGGGGAAGUUGGAAGUUUCACCUCUGGAGCCUCGUUUGACCACAUGCCCAGACAUUAUCAAAGUCUGCCAGAUGAAGGAUUCAGAACACGCAUACAUCCAGUGCAAGUGCCAACAUGACUACUGGAAGGUGUUGAGUUUCUUCAUUUUUUCCUUCCUGCCAAGAAAAUGGCUUAUGCCCAAGCACUCCCCAGGAACAACCCAGAACAGUGCAGAAAUGUGGGGUUUGCAGAGGAACACGUACAGCCCCACAGCAGGUGAACCCACAGCAGGAUACCUGGCACACGCAAAGCAUUUUAAAGCCCAGGCGUAAAACGCACUCUUAGCAAGAGACAGAGCUCCAGAUAGACCAUCUAAAUUUUAAUGCUGUAGUUUCGGAACAUUCUGCAACACAAAGCAACUGCUCUGAGGAGUUUAGAGCUGUUUCCUCUGCUUCACAAGUUGUUUUUUAAAAAAAACCCUUCUGUUCUCUAUGUAGUUGAUAGCUUCCAAAACUAUCCUGCAAUUCCCUUCUCCCUUCAAAUGUAGUCUCUCCUCAAAGGAUGGUUGAAAUUUCAAGAAAAACAGCUAACUUUGCUAUGCAAAGGGAACACUAGAUUUCCUUCUUUAAAGAUUUAUCAAGCAUUUCUGCACCAGGCUUCAGAAGUGAUUUGCAAUCUCAUCCUGUACUAAGCUUUCUGAUCCUAACUCGAACACAAACACUGGAACUGCACGCUAGAACUGAUGACUCUGCAAGCAUAGAAAUUCAGAUCGUUAGCAGUAAUUAGUUGCCCAAGAGACACAAAGCUGUAAGUUACUAAACAAAGGUGAUAAAAUGCCAAAGAAACCUGAUACUAGUAAAUAAGUGCUCUAUUACAGAGGUUUAUGAAAAUACCUCAGUCAAUAGCAAGAAUAGUGGGAUGUGCGUAAGUGUUCUGCCUUUUUCACUCAUCUGAUAGAAAACAUUAAUAAAAAAGAUUCUGACAGUACACAUAAGAUGAGGGGAUAACUCUUACCAACAAACAGCUCUGCUAUUUAAACCUAGUCUUUUAUUCCCUGUAUUUUAAAUGCACAUGCUUAAAAGGAAAUGGCUUUAUUGAAGGGGAUCCUAAUUUCUGCAGUCCUCUCGCAUGCCAACAAGGUGAGUUUUACAUGCAGGUACUACUGUCUUGUGUACGCCUGAAUAAGACUCUUAAGAACAGAACACUGAGCCCAUGGAACACGUCCUCCUCAGAAAUGCAAUGCAUCACUUCUUUCAUAGAAUAUAAUCUAAGAAACCUUGUCUUUUUAGAGUGCUAUGAGUGCCCACUAAAUCAGGAAUAAUCCACUGGGAAGUUUUUGUGCCUGUAAAGGUACCAUGUGCCCUAAAGAGAAGUGACACAGUGUCACGAGCAGUUUUAAGCUUGCUUACAGCUUGUUCUCAAUUUUCACAUCUGAAGCAGCACUUUCCUGACUGUAGACUGAAGCACAGAACAUUAUAAAAUCCAGAGUAUUAAUUAACUGGAGUUGCUCCACAUAGCACAUCCAUCACCAAGCCACAAGCUUGUUUUCUUCACUUUAAGUGGACUUACAGCACACACCCUGCAGGUUAUCCAUACAGUUGCAUGUUUUUUUUUCUAAUUUAACUACUGUAUGUCUGGUUAAAAAAAAAUUUAAAAUCAGAUUUCAAGUACCAAACUUAAUUAAAAUAAACUCUUCAGUCUUCC